rnacentral:rRNA from 1 species
GACGAACGCUGGCGGCGUGCUUAACACAUGCAAGUCUAUUUGAAGUUGGAAGCUUGCUUCCGGCGGGGAUGGCGAACGGGUGAGUAACGCGUAGACAAUCUGCCCUUCAAUCUGGGACAACCCUGUGAAAACGGGACUAAGACCGGAUGGUAUCUUUAGCUCGCAUGAGCUUUAGAUUAAAGACCUUGAGUCGUUGAAGGAUGAGUCUGCGUGGCAUUAGUUAGUUGGUAAGGUAAUGGCUUACCAAGGCGAUGAUGCCUAGCUGGUCUGAGAGGAUGAUCAGCCACACUGGGACUGAGAUACGGCCCAG